UCUCUUUAUUUCUCAGCUGGCUGACACUUAUGGAAAAUAGAAAGAACCUACAUUGAACUAUUGGGGGCGGGUUCUGCUGAUAUCUGGCGUGCCAACGUGGUUUUCUAUUUCCUAAGUGCAUGUGGGAACCCGAUUCCCUUUGGAAGGUGCAGAGAAACGUUCAUCCGUCCAGUCCACAGAAACGCUUGUUUGGCUCCCUGACGAUUGCUCAGCAGGUGGAAGGUAUAAAUUUCAGCUGCUCUCAGCCCUGCUGUGAUUUCUAAAGCCUUCUAACAGCAACAUGAAGUUGGCAGCCUUCCUCCUCCUCGUGAUCCUCAUCAUCUUCAGCCUAGAGGUACAAGGGCUUCAGGCUGCAGUGAGGCCAUUGCGACUUUUGGGUACCUGCGUCGAGCUCUGCACAGGUGACUGGGACUGCAAUCCCGGAGAACACUGUGUCAGCAAUGGGUGUGGUCAUGAGUGUGUUGCAGAGUAAGGACAGAUGAAGAGUUAUCUUAAGGAUCAUCUUUCUCUAAGAUAAGCAUCCCUUCCUGGAGUUCCUAUCUUCCAAGAUGUGACUGUCUGGAGUUCCUCGACUAGGAAGAUGGAUGAAAAUAGCGAGCCUGUGGAUAGGGACUACAGGCGAUAUGGGAGGCAGGGAAGAGGGGUUGUUUCUUUUAAUAAAUCAUCACUGUUAAAAGCA